CAUGUCCAGUUCCUUCUGUAGGCGGGCAAGGGUUGCAUCGUCAUGGCCUCCUGCACACUUUGUGACUGUGCACCACUUCUGGCUGCUAGGGUCAUAGCAGCCCAUGAGGAAGAUCGACAUCAUACCACCUGCAGGCCAGUGCCGCUUUCCGGGCUCAUAUGUACCCUGAAGGGACAUGAAAGAGAACACAAAGUACAAUGGAAACUCUCUGAGGCAGGGAUUUAGCUCUUCACUGCAGCCCACCAGCCCACACCGGAAGGGCCAUGGACUCCAGGCUCCUCAGGAGAUGUAUAAAACCCAUCCUCCUAAUCCAGAACAGACCUGUCAAGCCCCAGAAAGGAUCCACCCCCACCUCUUCAGAUGGCACUGCCAUCUGUCCAGGACAGGAAAGGCUCAGAGGAAAGCAACAGGUGUGAUGACCUUACCUUUACAUCCUUCAGCACCAGCCCUUCCAAGCCCUCCCGGAUCACCCGGUUUAUCAUAUCAGCCAAGUCUGAAGCUUUCUGAGGGACAGCAGGAGAGAUGUUGAAGAUGGUGUGAGAAGAGGAUGGCACAGGAGUGCAUCGACGGCAUGCUAGUCGAGUACCCACUGGAAACGCCCUAACUUGAAUACUAGGGACAAGGGAUUUGUAAACCAGGGAACCUCUCAACCAGAGCGCAGCAGUGGCUUGGAGGCACAGGGUGCUUACCUAGGAAGGACUUCCAUGCCCUGUCCUCCUGGGUAACGAACAGACAACAGACACAAAGGCAAACACAUCAGCCACCCCCAGAAGGACAAGUAAGACUCACUCUGUCACACUUGUUGUGCAAGGGGUUCUGUGUCCUGCUUUUAAGCCACAUGACCCUGUCUAGAGUAGGUUCUUCACUUACUGUUACUUGCUUCAUUUCUGAGAACAUGAUCCGGUUGGGAAUUUCAACCAUGUUGUCAUGAAGAAACUUCCGCCGCUCACACAGAGGCCUAAAGGGGACAGGAAAGCUGAGGGAGGGAUCUUCCCACCCCUAGCAGCCGUUCUGAGGGAAGGAGCACAAUGAUAAAAUUGCUGCUGCAUGAGAGGGUCUGACGUGAACUAAAGCCCUCAUGUGUGACAGUUCUGCUGCCAUAGGCUGCAGGGCUCCAUCCUGACCGAAGAUGGACAACUGUGAGCAGGGGUAUGGAGCCAGUUAGCCAGUUCGUAGCUGUAGUUCCUGUUUCUACUUUAUGGAGCCAAGGGAGAUCUGGCCUCUAGCCCAGAUUAUAUAAAAUAUGGUCUCAUUUGAAAAAUGACUCCCACUUGGGUAUUUUUUUUGCCUUGCUUCACCCUAACCCCAAGGCUGGCAGGUCCUUGGGUCAGCAGGCUGUCGGGCCUCAGGAUGCUGGUUUCUUGGGCCCAAGCCUUUAAAGGCAGCUAAGUCAGGACUGCUAGCUCUUCCCAAGACAGUCCCACCCACAGCCACCCCUACCAUCAAUAGGGAGUUUUCUACUGCCAGUCUCUCCUGAAAUCAAAACCUCUGAGCAGAAAAGCACUUGCAUUAUGCCCUGAGGGGUGUCACUGGAGAAUAAACUGAAACCCUGCUAUGUUCACCA